GAGCUGUUAUUAUAACCAGUGCUGUCUUUUACUGAGCACGGAGGGGUGGAGUAAGUCAUUCAGGCCACAGAUGGAGAAAAGGGCAGAGCUGGGGCCACACGCGGCAGCCCCAGGCCCACACCUUCAACGGCUGUACCGAGGGGUCCUUUCCUAGGUGACCCCUAAUCUCCCCACCCCCCGCUGUCCCCACUCCCCCAUCUUAGAUUCCCAGUGAGUUUCAGAGUAGAGGUCUCCAUCUAUUGGUAGGUGUGAGCGGUAUUUUUCAAAUGAUCUAAUCCCGGACAGAACUGAACAAACUAGAUCAGAAUGCGCCCAGGUAGUAAGAGCAAGUAUUGUUGAGCAAAAUACACGUGCGCGCAGACCUAUACUGGGCCGUGAGGUAAAAUGCAUGUCUAACUGUGGAUCAUGGUCCAAAAAGUCUGCAAAACCCUUUCUUAGAGGCAGAGUCUCCAUCAAAUCUCCGUCUGCGGCUCUCAGCCCGAGAAGAGCUAGGCCGGCCCCUGCUGGGCACUGCCAGUAUUGCACCAGGAGCCUCCACCGCCGUGAGCUUGGGGGUGGCCUGGCCCUGACUUGGUGGGGAAAGCAGCGCCAAUUGCCUCAUGGGAGUCCAAAAUACAAAAAAAAAUUUUCAACAGAAAAUUUAAUGGAAUGUUAUCAGUUCCACACUGUCUUCCCUGUGCUCUGACCGCUCUCAUCUCCCCAGGGAGAGCGGAAGCUCUUGGGGGCACACUGGGAUCUUGCGUCCCACCCGAGACACUGGUGAGGUGCGAUGCUCCACUCCCACUUGCUGACUGAUCGGCCAGUACUGAAGAAGGAAAUUGCCUAGGGUCACCAAACACUUAGCUAAUAAUUCUGAGCACCCAGGCAAGACAUGGGUUGCAAAACCAGAGGGAGAUGUGGCAUCUAGAACAUAUUAAGUAGCUACGAUGAGGCAGAUAUUCAUAGAUCCUAUUUCAUCAAGUCUUUGUUCCUCCCUUAUUAUCCUCACUUUACAGACGAGAACACCGAGGCUUAAGAUCACGAGGCUGAUGAGGAACAAGUUCCAGAAGCUGGGCCUGCUGAAUUCUAGGCCAGCACUCUGGAGACAGAGGAGGAAGGUCAAGGUUCAUCCACGCUGUAGCAUAAAGCAUCAUCAGCUGAUAGACAUCUGGGUUGUUGCCUCCUUUUGGUAUUAUGAAUAAUGCUGCUAUAAACAUUUGCGUACAAGUUUUUGUGUGGACAUAUGUUUUCAUUUCUUUUGGGUGUAUACCUAGAGACAGAAUGGCUGAGUCACAUGGAAACCUCUAUGUUUAACCAUUUGAGGAACAAGUUGUUUUCCGAAGCAGCUGGACCAUUCCCACCAGCAAUGUAUGAAGCUUCUGAUUUCUCUACUUCCUUACCAACAGUUGCUGUUAUUUGACUUUUUGAUUCUAGUUAUCCUGGCAGGUGUGAAGUGAUAUCUCAUUGUGGUUUGGAUUUGCAUUUCCCUGAUGACUAACGAUGUUGAGCAUCUUCUCAUGUGUUAUUGACCAAUUGUAUAUCUUCCUUGGAGACAUGUCUAUUCAGAUUCUUUUUAAUUGGGUUUUUUGUCUUUUAUUAUUGAAUUGAAAGUGUUUAUAUAUUCUAGAUACAAGUCUCGUAUCAGAUACAGGAUUUACAAAUAUUUUGUCCCAAUUCCACAGGCUGUCAUUUUACUUUCUUGAUGGUGUCCUUUGAAGCACAAAAUUAACUUUGUUAAAGCCCAAUUUAUCAAAUUUAUCUUUUGUUGUUGCUUAUGGUGACAUAUCUGAAAAGUAUUGAGGGCAUCUAAAAGGAAUCAGCUUCAGAUAUUACUCAUUUCCACUAAUAUCAUCUGGAACGCCAUAAAGAGCUUUUAUUCCUUCUGCUUGAGACAGAGAACAAUUUUUAUUAUGAAAUAUUUAAGAUAUACAUAAAGGUACAAAUAAUAACAUACAUCUGUGUCCCCACUACCCAGCUUAAGAAAUUUUGCCCGUAAAGUUGAAGUCCCCGUGUCCCCUCCUUACCUCCCUCUCCAGAGGCAACCAUUACUCUGAAUUUGGUGUUUAUUGUUCUCAUGCAUUUAUUUAUACUAUUAUUAUGUGUGUAUCAAUUUUUUACCAAUAUGUAGUAUUGUUUUGUCUUUUUGAAUUUCAUAUAAAUGGCAUCAUGUAGUACAGAUUCUGCAACUUGCUUUUUUUCCACUCCACAGUGUUGAGGUUUAUCCACGUUGAUAUAACUAAUAUAAGUGUAUAAAUAUUGCUCUAGUUCAUUAAUUUUCACAGUGGCUACACCUUCUAUAAACACAAUGUUUAUCCAUCCUAUAGAUGAACAUCCAUGUUGAAAUAGCCAAAAACUGGGGAAAAAUGACACUAAACAUUUCUGAGCACGUAAACCAGUUUCUCUAGAACCAGGGCUUUCCAUAUCUUUUUACUGCAACCCACAGUAAAAAUAAAUAAAAUACAUUUUAUAUCUUGACCCUAUGCACACAUACAUAUGUUUGUGUGUAGAUGUUUAUCAGUAUAUAACAAAAGUUUCAUGUAACAAUAUUGUCUCCUGUUAUUUCUCUGUUGUUAAUAUUUCCUUAAAUAAACAAAAGAUGGUGUACAGACACUGAACUGAUUCCAUGACUCCCCUACCUAGGCUACCACCACAGUUUAAAAGUUGCUCACGGGUAUCAUCCCAGAGAGUGUAACUGCUGGGUCAUGGGUGUCUUAGCUCCGGCUGCCACAACAAAAUACUACAGAGUAGGUGGCUUAAACAACAGGCUUUUUUUUUCUCCCCACAGGUCUGGAGGCUGCAAGUCCAAGAUCAGGGUGCCAGCAUGGUCUGAUUUGGAUGAGAGCCCUCUUUCCGGCUUGCAGACAGCUGCCUUCUUACUGUGUCUUACAUGUAAGGCUGAGGUCUCCUCCUCUUCUAAUAAAUAAGAGCACUAAUCCCAUCAUGGGGGCUCUGCCCUUAGGAUCUCAUAUAAACUUAAUUACCUCCCAAGGGCCUUACCUCCAAAUAACAUCACACUGGGGAGAAGAAUUUCAACAUAUGAAUGGGAGGGAGGGGAGACCCAAACCUUCAGUCCACAGCUUGAGGUAUACACAUAUUCAGCUUUUUACUAGACAAUUCCACUGUUUUCCAAAAUAAUUGUAGCAAAUUAUGCUCAUACAAGAAGACAAGUGAAUUGCCAUUGUCCUGCCUCCUUAUUGGAUUUAAACGUAUUCCUAUCUGAUUUUGCCUAUGUGAAAUGGUGUCCUGUAAUGUAAGUUUGCAUUUCCAUAAUUGGUAGUGAGCCUGAGCAUCUUUUUUAUGUUUACUGACCAUCCACAUUUUCCUGUUCCAUAAACUAUGAGACAGGGAAUCUAUCUACGGGAAAAGUUUCCAAGGCCAUUCCUGAGCUUGAGUUGAGAGGCAUAUGCAGGUGUGUGGUUCUGAUGUUUAAAUCUGUGACCACUUGCCCAAGAAAAAAGGGAACCAAUCAAACAUUACCUUCUCAGGAAGACUUCUUCCAAUUCUUCUCAGGCCAGAACAAAGUAGAAUCAGCAGCAAUAACAAUGAAGGAAAAAACAGGUGGAAAAAAGAGGCUUUGUUUUUCUUAAAGCUAAAAAGUCCUAAUUUGGACCAUAGAAAAAAUCUACUCUUGCUAAGUCGAGCUAUGUAAAUCUGGAUAUGUUAUUCUUCUGUUCUCAGUCUUCCAAUCUGCAAAAUCAGGAUAACAAUCUGUACCACUUCUUACCCCCAUGUGAAAAUUCUGAAAUACAUACUCUUUCAAAACUUUGAAAAUAAAGAAUUUGUAGAAAUUCAAGGUUUUGUGGGCGUUAGUCAUCCAACGCCUUCCAAAAGCUUAAGUGAGAUGAUAGAACUGUAGUCCCUUAAACAGCUUUCUGGAGUGAGCCACUCUCCUCAAUUCCUGCCUGAAAAGCGACGGCUCUGCAGAACAAUGAAUUAUUCCCUAAAAUAACACAGUCCUGUCUUCCAGUCUCAGAAAAUAAAUCUUAGAAAUUCUCCAUUUUAAGGCAUAGAAAUCAAAUCGCUUAGUGGUCAGAUAGUCUUUCUCUGGAGUCUCCUGCUCUCUGGUUCAGGCUAUUUAAACAUCAGUCCCUCUACCCUCUGGUCUGAUUUCCCUCCUGUUGCAGAUGCCAAGAUCCAUCCUAAAGUCACACUUGCUUGCUUUAGACUCAAGCACAAGAGUGAGGGCUCAAUGGUCGACAACACUUCACCCUCCCACUCUUAAGACAGAGCAGCCAUGGGAAGGAAACAGAAAUGACUCCUUCGAAGUGUUAAUUAUCAAAGCACAAAGGAAAAAAACUGGUACCAAAUAGUUUCCUUUACCAAAGAAUAAGAAGUUAGAUCAACAGAAUUUACAACCAAGAGGUGUUCCCACCCUGAAGGCCAGGAUCUAUGAGCAGAUCACACAAGCUGCUGCCGCCACCUUCUUUGUGAGGGUUGACUUCACUGCCAGCACUCGCUCCCAUCCUUUACUAACAUCCACCUACCAAAUGGGAUCUCAAGGCUUGGCAGAAAGGAAAGAAAGAAAUGGUGAAUCCUCAUCACACAAAGGGAUCCUUGCCUAAAGCCAUCUCCACCUAGAAGGCAUGCUACCCACAAAGUAGCGCAAUGGCAGUUGAAUUGAGCCAACAGUGUCACAACCUCUGUUGGGCUAAUGGAUGCUCUUUCCACAUCACUAUCAUGUUCAUGACCAUCACCUGCAUCUUUUUCUGAGCACAUUGCUCCUUCCAAUAUUUGACACUGCCUUCUUUUGCUCCAGGCAUAUUCUCCCAGCCAAAGCUCCACUGUAUAGCCCAGGAACUUCUCUAAUUCUGUAAAUCACUGCUCUCAAACACGGUGUCAAGAAAGUAAAGAAAAUCAUAUCUGCCAGUGACCUAGGAGGAUCACUCCAUAGAUCAGCAAAAUGGUUAAAACAAAACCUAAACCUAGAAGAAAUUCACCUUACUUCAAUUGCAAAAUUGGAGCUGAAGAGAUGUUUAUAUAUUUUGUAAAGAUUUAUGUAAUUUUUCUGUUUGGACUAAAGUUAUAAAUAGCUGUCAUCUACUGUGAAAAACAUACAAACAAGGGAAGGCAAUGCCAAAAGCCAGCAAAGAAUAGAAAGAGGAAGCCAGAAUGAGAUUAAGUACUAGCCACAGAUUAUUUUACUUACUCAUGCUUUGUCUAUUCUUCAAAAGCAGCAUCCAAGGGCAAAAGGGUUCAAAAACAAGACCAUAAGUAAAAAAUUUUCUUCUAGAGCCCAAGAAAAGAAGUUUCUCAUAGGCACUAACAUGUCUAGGUCUCAGAUACAAAGUAGUAUAAAAGAACCAUUUCCAGGCUUCCCUGGUGGCGCAGUGGUUGAGAGUCCACCUGCCGAUGCAGAGAACGCAGGUUCGUGCCCCGGUCUGGGAAGAUCCCACAUGCCGCGGAGCGGCUGGGCCCGUGAGCCAUGGCCGCUGAGCCUGUGCGUUCGGAGCCUAUGCUCCGCAACGGGGAGAGGCCACAACAGUGAGAGGCCCGCGUACCGCAAAAAAAAAAAAAAAAAAAAAAAAACCAUUUCGAAAAACUAAAAACACUUCCUAACUGUUAACAGUGUACAUCCUAAUUGUUAACAGAUCUCUUUCCAGUGCAGGUAGGACUAAAAAUUUGAUGAACAUAAAGACAUCCAGGAGUGAGUAUUUUAAUAAACACAGGCUUUACUCUGUCUGGUUCCUCAUUCUCCUUUACAUUAAGUAAGUUACAAAAGUCAUGAGAUGUUAAUGCAGUAAGUAGUUCCUGUCAUUUUGAUAACCAAAUAAAAAACCUGAAAAUAGAACCAAAUUAGGAGGAAAGUUCUUUGGGCUAUUUCUGAAACACCCUGUAUUUGCUUCAACCAUGAGCAAAGUGCACACAGUCACAGCAUCUUACCCUGGCACGUUGGUCUCUGGGAAGUAACUGUCAGCUGAGUUUUGUUCCCAGGAGUAAAGGGGCCUAGCACUAGGGAGCCUUUCGCCAGCUUUGAAAUCUCACUGGUUCUAACUGGAAACGGAAGUGGGGGCUACAGGAAAGCUAAUGCAAAACUAUUUUUAUCUAAAUCUAACACACCAAAGGCCACCUGCAAAACAUUCUAGGAGUAGGAUACAGCUGUUGCUUGGAAAAAAUCAGGCAACUUUAACAAUAAGAUCUGAUAACAAAAUAUAAUUCACUUUCACAUCCAAAACCUAACUUGGUAGCUGCUCCAGGCACCAUCUAAUUAACUGAAGCAGAUAGAAAAAAAAAAUCCUCAGAAAUUAUCUUUGUUUAAAUACACUCUAUUUUAUUUUGUCUUAAAAUAGUUUAACCUUUAUGCUACAGACUUAUUUCAAAAAACAGAAAAUCUUAUCUUGCACCAAAAAAUAUAUAUAUAACACUCUGUUUUAUUAUUUUUUUUCUCCAAAGACCAUUAAAUACUAAUUGGAAACAAAAACUAAAUAAUGAAUGUAAAGAAGAACCAAAUUUUGUCUUAAAAACUAGAGUCACACAUUUUAAAACAUUAAUUCUAAGCAAUGAUUUGUCGUCACUGCAUCAAGUCCACGCUCACACUCCAGCAACAGCAGAUCUGUUAACCACCAAGUGCAUUGGUUCCUAGCCAUACAAUGGCUAACAUUUCAUUUUCACGGUAAGAGGAGCAAAAGGCUUCAAUGACCUUUGUACUCUUUAAACAACAAAAAUAUUUCCUAGUUAUCCAGUGAUUUUUUUUUUAAGAUCACUACCCUUUAAAACUUGUUAAAAGAAUAAGAAGUACGUAGUGUUUUAAAUAAAAUGAAAAAGUACAACAGCAUUGGACUAAAAUACGUGAUUAUUUUAAACAAACAGUGCACAAUCUGAGGAAGUUUGGUUAGGGCGCAAUCAUUUUUAUAUAUACAUGGAAGUCACAUCAUACACAUACUGAAAAACAGGGAUGGAGGGGAGCUCUUUGCCUUUAAAAAAAACCUUUAAACUGAAAGACAAUACUGUGUCCCCAGCUUUUUCGAAAACCUUGUGACACAGUAUAAAAAGCAGGCAACAAAUUCAUUUUUAAAUUGCCUAUGGUGCUAAUCUGCUAAAAGUAACAAUGAACAAUUGACUAAAUUAGGAAAUCAGAUGGUUCAUAUUCACAAUUGAUAAUAAUAAAAGCAGAGUUUAUGGGAUGCUUAAAUGUUACGAAUAAUGGAGUCCAUUCAGUCUGGCCCCUUCCAUCAAAAUGAAGAGACUACUACUGGCGAGCAAUAGCUACGUAUCAAUAUUGGUGUACUGAUGCAAUAGCUAAGUUAUCGCUCUGUGGUUUCAAAUUGGGGGAAGGGGGGCACUUAACCAAGUUAGUGCCAUACACCAAUCUGUGACCCAAGUGUACCAUUUUAGUGGAGAUAUUACUUGGAAGAGACGGUGAAGCAUAAAGUGUCUAUGCUACCAAAUGCAAAACUUUGGUUAAAAAAGACCCCCUUAAAAGAAAUUUUAAAUGUCAGAAUUUUAAAUUUACCACAGAAUUUUAUCAUUACUACCUUGCCAGAAACCACAUCCCUACUCUCCUGGAUCUGGCAAUGAAAGAAGAGUUGAAACAUAGUCUCUCUAUAGUUAGUUAGUAGGUGGAAAAGUCCCAACCUAGUAGGGAGAAAAGCUAUCUCUACCAUCCCUUCCCCUCCCCGCUUUUUGCAUAUUAAUUUUUGUUCUGGUGAAUCAAGCCAGAUAGGGUGCUGGAAAAGGGACAGGUGAGGGCAAAGUGUAACCCAAUCUAAAAGCAAAAGGCCAGAAAAGAGCUUGGUUACAACUCCGCUCUCCACUCCCAACCCACAGUGCACACAGCACACCCAAAGAAUUCUCGUUAGAGGAUGACUGUUAGGGACUUAAGAAAAUAUGCCCUGGGAAAUCCCCUGCUAUACGGAAUUGGACAAAACAUACUGCUAACGUAAGAACAGGUAAUGCAAAAAUGUUCUUUAAAAUGGGGCUCUGCCCUGAUGGUGGGGGGAUAAUAAGCUGCAAAAACUUCAAGUCAUAGAAUCCACUCUAUUCUUGCCCCAAUGGUUUUCCUGGAAAAUAUAGACCAGAAAUUGUACAUUUCUGCUCUGUCUAGUAUUUUAAUUCAAGUCAAAAACAACGUGUAACAGUAAAUUCAAUAAAUUAAUCCUAAAGUAAAAUGUGAAGGUCCAAGGAUACACCAGUAGUGAAUCUGCAGAAGGUCCUAUUUCGCUCUGGCCUCUGGGUCUUUGGUUUUUGUCUAGAAUU